rnacentral:rRNA from 1 species
AGCUAGCCUACACACCAAUUUAACUAGACCUAAUAAAUCUAAUUUACAUUACAACUCUAAACCAAAACAUUCUUAACCUUUUAGUAUGGGCGACAGAACAAUAACCUUAGCGCAAUAGCUUAUGUACCGCAAGGGACAGCUGAAAAAGAAAUGAAAUAAAUCAUUAAAGUAUUAAAAAGCAGAGAUUACACCUCGUACCUUUUGCAUCAUGAUUUAGCCAGAAAAACUAGGCAAAAAGAUUUUAAGUCUACCUCCCCGAAACUAAACGAGCUACUCCGAAGCAGUACUAUAGAACCAACCCGUCUCUGUGGCAAAAGAGUGGGAAGACUUCCGAGUAGUGGUGAAAAACCUAUCGAGUUUAGUGAUAGCUGGUUACCCAAGAAAAGAACUUUAGUUCUGCAUUAAUUUUUAAUAUUUAAACAAGACUUACUCGUUAAAAGACCUAUAAGAAUUAAUAGUUAUUUAGAAGAGGUACAACCCUUCUAAACCAAGAUACAACUUUUUAAGGUGGGAAAUGAUCAUAAUUAUUAAGGUUGUUCCAUCAGUGGGCCUAAAAGCAGCCAUCUGUAAAGUAAGCGUCACAGCUCCAGCCUAACAAUUAACCUAUAAUUUAGAUAUUUACUCAAAACCCCCUUUAUCCUAUUGGGUUAUUUUAUAAAAAUAUAAAAGAACUUAUGCUAAAAUGAGUAAUAAAGAGAACAAAUCUCUCCCGACACAAGUGUAUAUCAGAAAGAAUUAAAUCACUGAUAAUUAAACAGCCCCAAACUGAGGUCAUCAUAUCACUUAAUCAUUAACUAGAAAAUCCUAUUCUUUUACUCGUUA